AGAGUUUGAUCCUGGCUCAGGAUGAACGCUGGCGGCGUGCCUAAUACAUGCAAGUCGAACGAAACUUCUUUAUCACCGAGUGCUUGCACUCACCGAUAAAGAGUUGAGUGGCGAACGGGUGAGUAACACGUGGGCAACCUGCCCAAAAGAGGGGGAUAACACUUGGAAACAGGUGCUAAUACCGCAUAACCAUAGUUACCGCAUGGUAACUAUGUAAAAGGUGGCUAUGCUACCGCUUUUGGAUGGGCCCGCGGCGCAUUAGCUAGUUGGUGAGGUAAAGGCUUACCAAGGCAAUGAUGCGUAGCCGAACUGAGAGGUUGAUCGGCCACAUUGGGACUGAGACACGGCCCAGACUCCUACGGGAGGCAGCAGUGGGGAAUAUUGCACAAUGGGCGCAAGCCUGAUGCAGCGACGCCGCGUGAGGGAUGGAGGCCUUCGGGUUGUAAACCUCUUUUAUCGGGGAGCAAGCGAGAGUGAGUUUACCCGUUGAAUAAGCACCGGCUAACUACGUGCCAGCAGCCGCGGUAAUACGGAAGGUCCAGGCGUUAUCCGGAUUUAUUGGGUUUAAAGGGAGCGCAGGCGGACUCUUAAGUCAGUUGUGAAAUACGGCGGCUCAACCGUCGGACUGCAGUUGAUACUGGGAGUCUUGAGUGCACACAGGGAUGCUGGAAUUCAUGGUGUAGCGGUGAAAUGCUCAGAUAUCAUGAAGAACUCCGAUCGCGAAGGCAGGUAUCCGGGGUGCAACUGACGCUGAGGCUCGAAAGUGCGGGUAUCAAACAGGAUUAGAUACCCUGGUAGUCCGCACAGUAAACGAUGAAUACUCGCGGUUGGCGAUACACAGUCAGCCGCCAAGCGAAAGCGUUAAGUAUUCCACCUGGGGAGUACGCCGGCAACGGUGAAACUCAAAGGAAUUGACGGGGG
rnacentral:rRNA from 1 species